rnacentral:misc_RNA from 1 species
AAACUAGAUUGUUGCUCCCCAA